GCUCUCCGCCUCGCCCGGUUUGUCUUUUGGUUUCUCGGCCGAACUUUAUACUUCUCUUCUCACCCUAACAUAUCUAUAUUCCGGUUUUACAUGAAAAAAUCUCUCAACUUUCUUAGAAAAUCAAACACAUCUGGUCGGAAAGAUUUUCCGGUGAAUCUAUUUGGUUCUUUCUUUGAAUUUUCUCCGGCGGAGGUGUUGUGAACUGAUUUUGUUUUGUGUUGUUUUGUGUUUUGCAACGUGAUUUCGUAGCAUAUCGGGAGCUCAGAAAAAUGGUUGUUAUAUGAUUGUUGUUGGGUCUAACCAACUAUUUUGGAUCAUUACAAAGGGCUUGAACUUCCCUAGCAGCCUGGAAUUUUAUCGACCACCUUCCUAUACGCGGAUUGAUAUUACGGUUUUUAUCAGUUUGAAAUGGUAUAUGAGCUUUGUCCUCCUUAUUAUAAUGCAGCAGACUGUGAUACAGAUAAAGAUAUGGGCAGCGCUUCCAAAUUCGUUCACGUUCUACUUUACCGCCAGCCUUUCCAAUGGUAGGUGAAAGGUUCUUUCGAGUAUUCAGAUAUUCAUCAACUAUUCAUGCAGAAUGCGCAUAGUUAGUGAACAAUUUAUCUUCCCAUUGAUUCAAAGUUGGACAAUACAUAAUAACAGGCUAUGCCAGCGUGCGGGAGCAUGAAGUCUAGACAUAGAUGCCCCGUCCAACUCUUCUCUUUAUAGCCACAAGGUUGCCUUCUUUCGUUCGAUGUUGUCGAAGGUUUUUUGCAUCGGACAGUUUUGAAAACUCAGCCGAGGAAGAAAUUUAUUCUACUCUGUUGCGUAGAUAUGCCGAAAAAUCUGACUCAUAUCACGGAAGAGGAAUUCAUGCUAAGUUCGUCAAAGGUUCUCUUCCCUUUUCUCUUUUCCUCCGUAAUCACUUGCUCAAUAUGUAUGUCAAAUGCGGUGAUCUGGUCAGUGGUCUCCUACUGUUUGAGGAAAUGCCCGAAAAGAAUGUCGUGUCGUGGUCAGCUGUCAUUGCGGGUCUCGUUCAACAUGGCUGUCCUAAUGAAGCUCUUUCUCUGUUUUGCCGUAUGCACCGUGAUGGAACAACGAAGCCCAACGAGUUCACCCUCGUCAGCACACUCCACGCAUGCUCGUUAGUGGAGAAUUUGACGCAGGCAUAUCAACUUUAUUCAUUCGUUGUUCGCUUGGGAUUUGAGUCAAACAUUUUCUUGCUGAAUGCCUUCCUGACAGCUUUGAUUAGGCAUGGUGAAUUGGCAGGGGCUUUGGAAGUCUUUGAGAAUUGUCGAACUAAGGAUAUUGUGUCUUGGAAUGCCAUGAUGGCUGGGUUUUUGCAGUUCUCUUUUGCGGACGUGCCCAAAUUUUGGUAUCGAAUGACUUGUGAAGGUGUGAAGCCUGAUAGUUUCACAUUUUCCAGUGUUCUCACCGGGCUGGCUGCCCUUUCUGACUUUAAAUUAGGAUUGCAGGUUCAUGCUCAGCUUGUCAGAUAUGGUUAUGGUGUCGAGAUUUGUGUGGGGAACUCUUUGGCAGAUAUGUAUAUAAAAAAUCAGAAGUUGGUUGAAGGGUUUAGAGCUUUUGAUGGGAUGCCAGUGAGAGAUGUGUGCUCGUGGACUCAGAUGGCUGCAGGAUGCCUACUGUGUGGAGAACCAAGCAAAGCACUUGAGAUUGUUGCAGAGAUGAAGAAGAUGGGUGUAAAACCAAACAAGUUUACCCUUGCGACUGCCUUGAAUGCCUGUGCUAAUUUGGCUUCAUUGGAGGAAGGGAAGAAAGUUCACGGCUUGAGAAUCAAGCUCGGAACUGACAUUGAUGUCUGUGUAGAUAAUGCUUUACUAGAUAUGUAUGCAAAAUGUGGGUGUGUGGACAACGCAUGGACAGUUUUCCAAUCCAUGAAUGAUCAUUCUAUUGUCUCAUGGACAACAAUGAUCAUGGCAUGUGCAAUAAACGGCCAAGCUAGGAAAGCUCUCAAGAUUUAUGAUGAGAUGAGGCUGAAGGAUAUUCAGCCAAACUACAUAACCUUCAUUUGUGUGCUUUAUGCAUGUGGCCAAGGAGGGUUUAUCGAUGAAGGGUGGGAGCUAUUCUCCUCCAUGACCCGUGAUUAUGGAAUCCUUCCUGUAGAAGAUCACUAUGCAUGCAUGGUAAAUCUUCUAGGUCGAGCUGGAUGUGUCAAAGAAGCCGAGGAAUUCAUUUUAAGAAUGCCAUUUCAACCAGGUGUGCUAGUUUGGAAAACUUUGCUCGGUGCUUGUCAUGUAUAUGGUGAUAUGGAAAUUGGGAAGCGUGCAGCGGAGCAUGUAUUAAAUCUGGACGGAAAAGAUCCGUCAACCUAUGUGGUAUUAUCCAACUUGUUUGCUGGCUUGAGCAAUUGGGAUGGGGUAGGGAUGCUGAGAGAAUUAAUGGAAGCUAGGGAUGUGAAGAAAAUGCCUGCAUCUAGUUGGAUUGAAAUUGAAAAGAACCAUUCCCUACUUCCAAAACUUGAAGGAUUUAUGUAAGGGAAGACGACUCUACUUUUCCCUGUUCUUGCGCUUUGGUUCUUUUUGUAAUGUAUGGCCAAAAGUUCAAGCAUGGGAGGGACUUGCAGGUUUCUCUACAGUUUUUUGGUUAUCGGAAGUCGCCAUUGAAAAUAG